CCUACGGGGGGCUGCAGUGGGGAAUAUUGGACAAUGGGGGGAACCCUGAUCCAGCCAUGCCGCGUGUGUGAAGAAGGCCCUCGGGUUGUAAAGCACUUUCAGUGAGGAAGAACGCCUGGUGGUUAAUACCCAUCAGGAAAGACAUCACUCACAGAAGAAGCACCGGCUAACUCCGUGCCAGCAGCCGCGGUAAUACGGAGGGUGCGAGCGUUAAUCGGAAUUACUGGGCGUAAAGCGCGCGUAGGUGGCUUGAUAAGCCGGUUGUGAAAGCCCCGGGCUCAACCUGGGAACGGCAUACGGAACUGUCAAGCUAGAGUGCAGGAGAGGAAGGUAGAAUUCCCGGUGUAGCGGUGAAAUGCGUAGAGAUCGGGAGGAAUACCAGUGGCGAAGGCGGCCUUCUGGACUGACACUGACACUGAGGUGCGAAAGCGUGGGUAGCAAACAGGAUUAGAUACCCUUGUAGUC
rnacentral:rRNA from 1 species